rnacentral:rRNA from 1 species
UACGUAGGUGGCAAGCGUUGUCCGGAUUUAUUGGGUUUAAAGGGCGCGUAGGCGGCCGGUUGCGUCGGAUGUGAAAGCCCGGGGCUCAACCCCGGAACGGCAUCCGAUACGGGCUGGCUUGAGACCGAGAGAGGUGAGUGGAAUACCCAGUGUAGAGGUGAAAUUCGUAGAUAUUGGGUGGAACACCGGUGGCGAAAGCGGCUCACUGGCUCGGUUCUGACGCUGAGGCGCGAAAGCGUGGGGAGCAAACAGG